AGAUGAAAGCAAUGGAAGUCUGUCCAUGGCCUACGCAAGCACCAACAUGACCACAAGAUGUCCCAAGAGGAUGAGCUCUGCUGUGUUCACCUGGAAGUUCAGAAGCUCACAGAGAUAACCCUAUGUGGUGGAAGCCUCUGAGCAUUAGAGGGGUGUGUAGGAAAAAAGUUACAAAGUACCGAUGGCCUAGCUGUCCUGCAGCUUUCUUCAUGAGGAAGAAUUGUUAAAACCAGCCUGAGACCAGUGGCAAUCUAUGCAAGACUACUCCAUAAGAAACAAAAAACUGUUAAGAAGAUGGACGAUUAAGCCUCCAUAGAGUAACACAAGGUGCUUUUAACUGUACUAGGGCAGUGC